rnacentral:misc_RNA from 1 species
UUAUUUCGUCUCUACGAUCCUCCUUGAUCGUGACAUUCUGACGUCAUAUAUAACCUUACAACAAUAUUGCUUCAGAUGAUGAUGGUGAUAGAUGAUAUUUUUUAUUGGGAAGAUGUUUUGAUCGCAAUUAAGUGCUAACCUACACAUAUUAUAAUUGCGUUUUGAUUUAUCAGUGAAUUUAUUCACAAAGGUAGGAUGUCAUCCAUUUCAAAGCCUUACCACGGAUACCAGCAGCAUUCAGCUUUUCAAGAAGAAUUGAAUGGUCAACUGUGUCGAACGCCUUUUUUAUAUCGAGAAACAGUCCAGUAACCUUGGAAUUCCUAACAUUUAAUCCUGAAUAUAUUUGAAGUUAUAUACAUAAAGUUAUAUAAAGCCAUCUCAGUACUUAAACCCUCUUGGAAUCCAAAUUGACCCUUGUAGAAAAAGUUAUUGCUCUUCACAAAAUGGAAAAUUCUCCUUCUAACAAUCUUCUCAAAUAUUUUAGAGAAGACAGACAGGAGAGAUAUAGGUCUGUAAUUGGAAGGAUCUAAAUGAUUUCCACUUUUGAAAAUGGGAAUGACCUUAGCUGUCUUCAAGACAUCCGGAAAGAUACCCGCAAUUAUACUUGCAUUGAAUAUAUCAUACAAUACUGGAACCAAUGGUAUAGCAAUUCUUUUUAAAAGAUAGGAAGAUAUACAUUCGUGACCAGGAGACUUACCAUUCCUCAAAGACUGUAUCUCAGUGAGAAUCUCAUGAUAAUCUAUUGGUCUUAAAAAAAUAGAAUUACAAACAUUGUCUGAUAUGAAGCAAUCUUUAUAAUUAUUAAUAGUAUUUUGAUCUAUUACUCUCAUAGAAGAAAUAAGUCUAGUAGGUACUUCAAUAAAAUAUGUAUUAAAAGUG